CGGCGAAUGGGAGCCGGCCGCCGGCACUGUAGCCUGCACAGAGCGGUCGUGCACGGGUACUUGUGUUGGGUUGCGUGGGGGGCGCGGUCGCCCUGCCCUCCGCCAGACCUGCGGCGCAUUUAUGGCGAGGCCGACGGGGGGACCCACAGGAUUUUGUCUGUCUUGCCCAUCGGGACCGUAUCCGAGGGGGGCGCCUCCCCUGGGGGCCCCAGCGCGCCCGACCCCUUCACUUGGGGUCGGACGAGGCAGAACUCCGUGGCGAGGGGUCGGGCGCCCCCGACCCCGGGGUCGCAGUCGGGCAAGGUGGAAACUUUGCGGAGGGGGGUCGGACGUUCUCGAUCCUGGCACCUUGGUUGGGCCAGACGCCUAGGUGGGCCCGGGCCUCCGUGUCUUCUUCCUUAAGUGGUGUUUUAGGGGAGCGUUAAUAUUUCCCCCCAACAGUAGCCCCCGAGCCUGUGGUGGAGCAGGAGUGCUCCUCCGGAGGCUUCUUUUGCUGUUUUGCCGCAGGUUCUGUGUUGUGGUGCGCUUGCUUUAUUUCAGCCUGGCUGGGGGAAACCUUUGAUUUGUGACCACACGUGUGGUAGUUGGUUGCGAGACUAGCCCCCGAGCUUCUGCUCGUUGCAGGAAACCGAUCGGGAGGCUAGGUCGACUUUUUGAUCGCUGCCCCUCAAGCGUCCGUUCGCUAGGACGGAGGGUUUGAGCCGGGCCACGUUAUCCGCGUUGGACGAACCGUGGUGCUCUUUUGAGCUGCAAACGGGUAAGUUCGAGUGGAGUCCCGGUCCCCGUUCGGGGGGGUCCGGCUCGGGCCAAGCUGGUGGCGUACUCCAAUUUCCCGCCGGCCAGUUCAUAUAGUUCCCAGACCCGUUCGACCGGAUCUGGGGUCUCGUUGCCUUUCCCCGUGGAAAAACCAUGAACUUUAUAUCGGGCGGGACUCGAACGUGAGGUUGGGGCGCCCUUGGCUUUCGCUCGCCUGGGUAUUGGCCGCUAGCGGACCCGUCCCUUCUCACCCCUUGCUCGGGGGAUGUCCUGAGGCAGCUGUCGAACCCGUGUUGGGCCAGCUUUCGAACCUCUGGACCGUAAUGGGCCGUAGGGGCAUUUUCAGCCCCGUAUCCCUUUCUUACCUCCCUGUGGGCCUUAGGCCGGAGCGGAGCGGUUGUUGCGCCUGGGCCGAACGUGGGGGGCGUCGUGGGCGCGUUACCCGGGAAGUGGAGUUAUGGAAGCACCGUCCCACGAAUCGAGGAAGAUAGGAUGUUUUCGCGGCCGAUCGUGCGCACGGUUUUCGAAAAGGAAACGGGUGUGACAGGGGCGUACCUGGCGCCGCAUUUAUGGCGGCCGGGGCGUCGAUUUGGCUUCCCCGGUACCCUUCUUAUAAAAGUAGGAGCCCACCGCGCCGGUUCCUCUCUCCUCUCGCAUUCGAGCCUUCUUGCCUCCUACUCAGUUCAUCCACGCUCUCCUCGUUUCCUUCGCUCCAAGCCGCGCGCUCUUCUUCCAUCUCCGUCGAUCUCCUCCUUCCCCCGGCGAUGGCUUCCUGGGGAGUUUCUCACUUCACCUCCUCUCACGCCGAGGGCCUGGUACGGAAGGGGCUCCUCUGCGAGAGGACGGAGGCGGGCGAGUGGGAGCUGCCAGGGCCGGAGCAGGUUCUGUCGCCUCCCGCCGGUUACGUCGUCUCCUUCGCUCACUUCCAUGAGCGGGGAUUCGCUUCUCCUCCGAGCCGCUUCUUCCGCGGACUCCUCCACCACUACGGGCUUGAGCUCCAGCACCUCAACCCCAACGGGAUCCAGCACAUCGCGGCGUUCGUCGCGCUGUGCGAGGGAUUCCUGGGCAUCGAGCCCCACUUCGCGCUGUGGAAGUACUUUUUCACAGUGAGCCUGUACCAGAAGACGGGGAAGGCCGGGAGCCAGCAGCGGUCGCCUCCGGUGCCGAUCGGGUGCGCCGGGAUCCAUCUCCGUCACACUCGCUCCAAGGAGUACAUGACGGUGAAGACCUCGGUGUCCCACAAAGGGGUGGCACAAUCAGUGGUUCUACGUGAAGAACUACCCGGACUCCCCCCUGCCGGCUUUCACCGGCCGCACCAUCGACGCGGCGCCCGAGGUAUGGGCGUACGGGCCGGUGGAGAAGGAGAAGAAGCGGUUCUCUGACUUGCUGCAGGCCAUCGAGCAGCUCAAGAGGAGUGGGCUCACCGGCGCCGGGGUCAUCGGCGCGUACCACGCCCGGCGGGUGGCGCCGCUGAUGCUCCGGGCCCGGCCGCUUGGCGCCAUGACCCCCGACGCGCUGACCGAGGGUACCGCCUUGGCGACGGGCGCGCUUGCCGCCUCCGAGAUCCGGCAACGGCUCCGGGAGGCGCUGGAGGACAGGGACGUCGAGUACCCAAUUCCCGGCCACCCGCCGAUGCGCCCGGAGCCGGGCUUCAUAGACCUGGUAAGGAGUUGGUGCGUCAUCUUCCUUUCCUUGUGUCCUGCUGUUUGUUGUUCUGACGCGGAUCUGCUUUAUGUUUGCAGGGCUCACUGACCCGGGUCGCGGACUCCCUUCCGCCGGUGCCGGAAGAUGCCGAGCGGAGGGCUCGCAACCGUCUCCAGGCCGAGGCGCAGAAGCGCCGCAAGGACAAGGAGACGGCGAGGAGGCGGAAGAAGGCCGCCAAGGAGUUCCAGCGGCGGCGGAGGGGGGUGGUCGUGUCUGACGACGACAACGACGACGACGAUGAAGAUGAACAGGAUGAAGAUGAGGAAGAAGAAGAGGAGGAAGAGCUGGUUCCCCCCCGAUCGGGGGCUUUGGUGAUUCGUGAUGCGCCCCCGCAGACGGCCGCGGGGGGUGAAGCGGCGGAAGCGUCCGCCCGGGCUUCGGCUCCCCCGGGCCCUGGGGCUGUGCCUCAGGGGCCAACACAGCGCGCGCCCCAGGAGCUGGCGCGGACCGCCCCUCAGGGGUCGGCGCAGGGCGUCCCCCGGGAGCAGGUGCGGGACGCCACCCAGGGGUCGGCGCAGGGCGUCCCCCAGGAACGGGCGCGGGACGCCCCCCCGGGGUCGGCUCAGGGCGUCUCCCAGGAGCGGGCGCGGGCCGCUCCCCCGGGGUCGGCACAGGGCGUCCCCCAGGAGCGGGCGCGGGACGCUCCCCCGGGGUCGGCAAGGGAUGCCCCCCCGAUGUCGACACGGAGCGCCCCUCGGGGGUCUUCAGAGCCUGCCCCCGCCGCCGCCUUGGGUCCGGCGUGGGGCGCUCCCCAGGAGUCCGCUCGGGGCGCUCCUCGGGGGUCCGUGGAGCCUGCCUCCACCGCCGUGCCCGCUGGCGGAGAGCAGCGAGGUGGCGACAAGCGGCCGCUGCCAGAUGCCCCGGGGUCGGCGUCCGGCUCCGAGUCGAAGCGCGCGCGCCGCCCCUGCGCUUUGAGGGCGUAAGUUGGUUUUCCCUAUGUGUCAUUCUUCUCCUCUUUUUUCAUUUGUUUCGGCUAACGCCUGGCCAUCGAUGUGCAGCACUUCUCCCCGUGGCCUCACCCUGCAGCUGGCGCCCAAGAAGGCGCUGCGGAUGUCGACCUCCUCCGGGGGGCGGGCCGCGGCUCCGCCCGCGGCGAGCGGCGGGGUUCCUGGUGCUGUCGCGGAUCCCCUCGCGGAGGUGGCUUGCAGAGCGGCGGCGGCGUCAGCCGCGGGAGGGGGAGCGGACUCCACUCCGCCUUCGGCCCCUCCGAUCGCCCCUUCAGCUCAGGGCGUGAUCCCCCAGGGCCCUCAGGCCGGGGAGGUGAUCGACCUCGACGCCGACGAGGCGGAGAAGGCGGCGGCGACGGGACGCAGGGCGGAUACCCCCGCUGCCGUGGCGGGAUCAGAGGCGGAGGGGGCGCCUGCUCCCGGAGGCGCGGCGGCAGCAGAGGCAGCGGUGACGGAGGCAGGGGCCUCCGCCCCGGUCACCCCCGCGGGAGUGACUCUGGCGGCUGAGGUGGAGGUGCCCACAGGGGUACCGUUGGCGGCCUUGGCGGCGACGAGCGUGCAGGCGCCAGGACCGUCGGCGGAUCCGGCGGCCUCUAGCGUCGUGGUGCCGUCAUCGACAGCGACGUUUGGGUCAGCCCCUGUCUCAACCUCGGCUUCCUCCGUCCCGAGGGCGUGGAGAGGGUCCGUCCUCCGCUGGUCAUCCCGUGAUGACCCGCCGAGGCACCUCUUCGCGCUGGCCGCCGCCGCCGAGUGGCAUAGGUGGCAGGCGAUGCAGGGCAGCGUCGCCCAGGUUUAGGCGGCUCUGACUUCGGCGCUGGGAGUUCUGGCCAACACCGUGGUCCCUGGCAGCCAGGUAUGUUAUUUCUACUGCUUGGUGAUGAGUGCCUCCUUUUUGCCUUUUUUGCCUUAAACGGCGUAUUGCUUUGCAGGCUCUCCAAGAGGGCAGCCGGGGGAAAUCUGAUUUCCUCCGGCGGCAGCAGGGUCUCUGGGAGCGUUUCAACAUCGAAAGGGAGCGCACCAGGGACCUGUCCCUGCAGCUUGGCGCCGAAAGGGAGCGGACCAGGGACCUGUCUUUGCAGGUCAACACCGCCUAGGGGAUCAUCCGCGACCUGCAAGAGCGUGAGCGGGCAGCGCUGGAGGGGUCGCGGCGUGCGGAGGCCAGGCUCCAAGCCGUCGCCGAGAAGGCCCGCCUCGACCUUGAGGAGUUCCAGGCUUUCGCGGAAAGGGCCUGCCACGACGCCGAGGGGCUUAAAGUUGCUGCUGAGAGGGCCCGCCGGGACGCCGAGGAGCUGGCGCAGCUGAGGGGGGAGCGUGGAGCCCUUCGCACGGAGAACGAUCAACUCCGCUUGCAGGUGCAGGGGCUUCAGUCCGCCGUGUCCCAAAGCGCCAACCGGGAGCGUGAAUUGAAGACCCAGGCCGACGGUGAGGUUUUUUCCGUUCCCGUGUUCCUGUGUCGUUUGUGUUCUGUUCUUUGACUUGGUGGGGUUUUCUGGGUGGCUCCUGCAGGUGAGAUCACCAAGUUGCGGGCUCUGCUCGACGAGGAGCGCGGCGAGCACGGCGCCCUGCGAGAUGCGGUCCGCGUCAUCUGCGACGACUUUGGUGUAGCUCCGGAGGAGGGGUCGAGCUCUCUGCCGGCUCGUGUCCUCAAGGUGCGCCGUCGCUGUCGCGAGAUCGCUGUGGACGCGCUUCGCCUUGGCGUCCGGCGAGCCUUCGGGGUCUUCGGCUCUCACUAUUCCGGUAUUAACUUUGCCGGGAUGAGUGAAGGGUACUACGCCGGCUACACCGAAGCCGAGCUGGACGAGAUCAAUGCCGGGGUGACCGUGCCGGCGGAGGCCCUCGCGAAGCUCCUGGAGGAUGAAGCCGUCCCUCCUGCCGACCCUGAAGCCGCCGCUCCUGCCGACCCUGAAGCCGCCGCUCCUGCCGACCCCUCUGCGAAUUAGCUGUACCGAGCUCGCGCCCAAAAAGUUUGUACUUAUGUCAGUCCUUUGAACUCGUUUUGCAUUGGCCAUACGGGCCUGUUCUUAUGACUCUUUGUUUGCACAAAAGAACCCGAUUCCCUUUGUUAUUCUUUUGGGCUCGAAAGCUUUAGGAUGCGUUGCCGGGUGCGUCAGUAAGUUUUAAUGAGCGAAGGUGCCGUAGCCGCUGGGGCGUAUGUUUUUUCGCGGUCCGAUUGCAACUUGCCUGAGCACCGUUCACGCAUCCUUAUCUUUUUUGCAUCCAAAGGUUUUCGAAAGGGAGUGUUCAGACUGAGAAAAGAAAAAACCGUUUUCUUUUUAGGUGGCGCCCAGCGGCUGGGGUCGGGACCCCUGAUAGCCCCCGAGGGGUAUGCGGUCCUGGAGCAAGGCCAGGGUCGGAUACCCCUGAGCUUAAAGGAGAAGGCCUUCUUUUUUCGCAGAAGAACAAAACUGGUAGCCCCCGAGGGAUAUGCGACCCUGGGACGAGGCCAGGGUCGGAUGCCCCUGAGCUUAAACGAAAAGACCUGAGCCAAGGUGGUUCAGGGUUUAUUUUUUCGCAGAAGAACAAAACUGGUAGCCCCCGAGGGGUAUGCGACCCUGGGACGAGGCCAGGGUCGGAUGCCCCUGAGCUUGGACGAAAGAACGGAAAAGACGGCAAGAUUAUGCAUAACUUGGAAAUAAAAGCUAUGGGUAAAAGCGCCUUAGCUGUUCUAUGUUCCAGGCGUUGCUGAAGAUUUGCCCGUCGGGAGUUGCCAGCUUGUAGGUGCCUGGCCGUAGCACUUGUGCGACGAUGAACGGGCCUUCCCAUGGGGGAGUCAACUUGUGCCGACCCCUGUUAUCUUGGACGAGGCGGAGCACUAAAUCACCGACGUUGAAGGCGCAGCCUUGUAUCCUGCGGCUGUGGUAACGCCGUAGGGCCUGCUGGUAUUUAGCCGAGUGGAGUAGGGCUACAUCUCGUGCCUCGUCGAGUUGAUCUUGUGCGUCCUCGAGCGACGCCUGGUUUCCCUGUUCGUCGUAUGCUUUGACCCUCGGCGACCCGUACUCUAGGUCGGUGGGCAAGAUGGCCUCUGACCCGUAGACCAUGAAGAACGGGGUGAACUCUGUCGCCCGGCUGGGGGUCGUCCUCAAGCUCCAGAGGACUGCUGGGAGCUCCGCAACCCACCGUCCGCUGAACUUUUUAAGGCGGUCGAAGAUCCGUGGCUUGAGACCCUGGAGUAUCAUGCCGUUGGCUCGCUCGACUUGCCCGUUCGUGCGGGGGUGCGCCACUGCCGCCCAAUCCACUCGAAUGUGGUGGUCGUCGCGGAACUGGAGAAAUCUCUUCCCGGGGAACUGCGUGCCGUUGUCGGUGAUGAUGGAAUUUGGUAUCCCGAACCGGUGGAUGAUGUCGGUGAAGAACUGUACCGCUUGCUCGGACCUGAUUUGCGCCACUGGCCUUGCUUCGAUCCAUUUGGAGAACUUGUCGACAGCGACGAGCAGAUGGGGGAAGCCCCCGGGCGCCCUUUUGAAGGGUCCGACGAGAUCCAGCCCCCAGACCGCGAACGGCCACGUGAUGGGGAUGGUUUGCAACGCCUGCGCGGGCAGGUGAGUUUGGUGGGCAAAGAACUGGCAUCCUUCACAGGUGCGGACUACCUGGGUAGCAUCCGCGACCGCGGUUGGCCAGUAAAAACCUUGUCGGAAGGCGUUGCCAACAAGCGUCCUUGGCGCAGCGUGGUGACCACAAGCCCCGACGUGGAUAUCCUGGAUCAGCGCCUUUCCCUGCUCGAUCGGGAUGCAGCGCUGGAGGAUCCCAGUGUGACUUCUCUUGUAGAGCUCCUGGUCGAUGAUGGUGAAAGAUUUCGCACGGCGCGCGAUCCUGCGGGCUUCUGUUUUGUCUGCUGGGAGCGUGUCGCGGACAAGGUAGUCGAGGUACGGGGCUCUCCAGUCGGUCGGGGGGUCGGCCCCCGCCGCGGGGCCCGCCGCGAUUUCCAUAACCACGGGGUCGGAUGGCUUGGCUUCCAGGGCCGGGUCGGGUAAGGCAGCGUUGAUUCCCUCGGGAUCGGUGCUCGGGUCCGGGACAGGUGGCGCGCUGCCGACCUCCCCCGGCUCGGGUCCCGACCCCAGGGCUGGGCAUGCCUCGCCGACCCCUGCUGGCUCCAGAUAACGGAUUGAAGGCUUCAGCUGGUCGCUAACGAAAACGCUGUCGGGGACGGGCAUCCGGCCAGACGCCGCCUUCGCUAGCUCGUCAGCGGCUUCGUUGAAGCGCCUUGCGACGUGGUUGAGCUCCAACCCAUCGAACUUGUCCUCGAGCUUACGGACCUCGUUGCAGUAGGCGGCCAUUUUAGGGUCAUGGCAGCUCCACUCCUUCAUGACUUGCUCGACGACCAACUGAGAAUCGCCCCGGACGUCUAGCCGACGGAUUCCCAGCUCAAUGGCAAUGCGGAGCCCGUUGAGUAGGGCCUCAUACUCAGCGACAUUGUUGGAUGCAGGAAAAUGGAGGCGGAUCAUGUACCUGAUGCGCACGCCCAACGGAGAGACGAAGACGAGGCCUGCUCCGGCGCAGGCCCUCAUCAGUGACCCGUCGAAGUACAACGUCCAGUACUCCUGCUCCUCUGGUGCCGACGGUGCUUGUACCUCCGUCCACUCGGCCACGAAGUCGGCAAGUACCUGCGACUUAAUAGCGGUGCGGGGGACGUAGGUGAUACCCUGGUCCAUAAGCUCAAGCACCCACUUCGCGAUCCUCCUUGUUGCAUUUGGGUUCCGGAUUACUUCACCAAGCGGGAAUGAUGAAACGACCGUUACCGAGUGGGAGGUGAAGUAGUGACGCAGCUUCCUCUUCGUGAUAAGGACGGCGUAGACGAGCUUCUGGAUCUGUGGAUAUCGUGUCUUGGACUCGGACAAGACUUCGCUGAUGAAGUACACCGGGCGUUGUACCUUAAGAGCGUGCCCCUCCUCCUCCCGCUCCACUACUAGGGCCGCGCUGACCACUUGGGUGGUCGCCGCGACGUAGAGCAGAAGGGUCUCGCCGUCGGCGGGCGGGACUAGUAUUGGGGCCUUCGUUAGGAGAUCCUUGAGUCGGUCAAGUGCCUCCUGGGCCUCGCUGGUCCAUUCGAAGCGGUCGGAUUUCUUCAGGAGCCGAUAGAGGGGAAGACCUCGCUCGCCGAGGCGCGAGAUGAAGCGGCUUAGGGAUGCUAAGCAUCCCAUGACGCGCUGUACUCCCUUUAUGUUUCGGAUCGGCCCUAUGUCGCUGAUGGCCGCUAUCUUCUCUGGGUUUGCCUCGAUGCCGCGCACAGAGACGAUGAAGCCUAACAGCAUGCCUCUUGGGACACCGAACACACAUUUCUCGGGAUUAAGCUUAAUACGCUUAUCCCUCAGCCUUUCGAAGGCUAGCUCCAGAUCGGGAACGAGCUGGUCGCCCUUUCUGGAUUUAACCACGAUGUCGUCGACGUAGGCCUCAACGGUCCGCCCAAUGAGAUCCCCGAAGCACUUCAGCAUGCAUCGCUGGAAGGUAGCCCCCGCGUUUUUGAGGCCGAACGGCAUCUUAACGUAGCAGUAGGGACCAAAGGGGGUGAUGAAGGAGGUAGCGAGCUGGUCGGCCUCUUUCAUCGCGAUCUGGUGGUAGCCGGAAUAUGCGUCGAGGAAGCUGAGGGUUUCGCACCCGGCGGUUGAGUCGACUAUUUGAUCUAUUCGUGGCAAAGAAAACGGAUCCUUUGGACACGCUUUGUUGAGACCGGUAUAAUCGACACACAUCCUCCAUUUCCCAUUCUUUUUCGGUACAAGGACAGGAUUGGCUAGCCACUCGGGGUGGCGCACUUCCUUGAUGAACCCGGCCGCCAGGAGCUUCUGGAGCUCUUCACCAAUGGCCCUGCGCCUUUCUUCGUCGAAACGGCGCAAGCCUUGCUUCACUGGUUUGGAGCCAGCCCUGAUGUUCAAGGAAUGCUCGGCGACUUCUCUCGGGAUGCCCGGCAUAUCCGAGGGCUUCCACACGAAGACGUCGCUGUUCGCGCGGAGGAAGUCGACGAGCGCGCUUUCCUAUUUGGGGGAUAGGGCUGCGCUGAUCCGCACAACCCCAUCGUUGGAACAACCGGGAUCGAGGGGAACUUCUUUGAUACCUUCGGUGGGCUCAAAGGAGGUGCUCGACUGCUUGGCGUCAGGCUGAUCUUCGAUCACCUCGGCAAGCUGGACCGCCAUGUCGCUGGUGACGGUGAUGGCCGCGGCAUACUCGCAACACUCCACGUCGCACUCAUAUGCCUUCUGGAAGGUUGUGCCAACGGUGAUGACCCCAUUGGGCCCCGGCAGCUUGAGCUUGAGGUAGGUGUAGUUGGGGAUUUCCAUGAACUUCGCGUAGCACGGCCGUCCCAAGAUGGCAUGGUAGGUUCCGCGAAACCCUACCUCCUCGAAGGUGAGGACCUCCUUCCUAUAGUUGGAAGGGGUCCCGAACGUGACGGGCAGGUCGAUCUGCCCAAGAGGCGUCGCCUGCUUCCCUGGCACGACGCCAUGGAAGGGUGCCAUGCUGGGACGGAGGCGGGAGCGAUCGAUCCCCAUAGCGUCGAGAGUCUCGGCGUAGAGGAGGUUGAGGCCGCUGCCCCCAUCCAUGAGUACCUUGGUGAGGCGCGUCGUACCGACGAUGGGGUCGACGACGAGUGGGUAACGCCCUGGAUGUCGGACGCGUCCCGGGUGGUUGGACCUAUCGAAGGUGAUGGCCGGUCCGGACCAAUCGAGGAAAGCCGGAGUCGCAGGCUCGGCCGCGUAGACCUCCCGGCGCUCUAGCUUUUGCUGGCGCUUGGUGUCGUACGCUGCGGAGCCCCCGAAGAUCAUGAAGCAGCCGUCGACCUUAGGAAAGCCGUUUUCCUUCUCUUCGUCGCCCUUCUUUUCCUCGUCGGGCUUCCGCUUCCGGUCACCUUUCACCGGAUUGCCCACAAAGUACCUCUUUAUGAGGUUACAGUCUUUGUAGGCGUGCUUGACGGGGAACUCGUGGUUCCGGCACGGUCCCUCGAGCAGCUUGUCGAAGAAGCCGGGAGCGCCUUCGGGGGGCGGCUGCCCCCGCUUGCGCUCGACCGUGGCCACGAGGGGGGCCUCGCGCCGCUGCUUGCCCUUCUUCUUCUGCUGGCGGUUGGAGGUGCCUUCGUCGGCGUCCUCCUCCCGUUUCGCCUUGCCUUUGGAACGAUCGAAGAUCGCUCCGACAGCCUCUUCGCCAGAGGCGUAGCUAGUGGCGAUGUUGAGGAGCUCUUCCGUGGUUCGCGGGCCUCGGUGCCCUAGCUCGUGGACGAGGGGCCGGCAAGAGGUCCCUGCUAGGAAGGCUCCUAUGACGUCGGCGUCGGCGACGUUGGAGAGCUCGGUGCGCUUUCUGGAGAAGCGCCAGAUGUAAUCCCGGAGGGACUCGUCCGCCCCCUGGCGGCAGCUCCGGAGAUCCUAGGAGUUGCCGGGGCGCGUGUACGUCCCUUGGAAGUUUCCUACGAAAACCUCUUUCAGGUCGUUCCAGUUGCGAAUGCGUUCUGAAGGGAUAUGUUCUAGCCAGGCUCGCGUGGAGUCUGCCAGAAAAAGGGGUAGGUUGCGGAUGAUAAACAGGUCAUCGUCCGUCCCGCCAGCUUGACAUACAAGCCGGUAAUCGCUGAGCUAUACUCCAGGAUUUGUCUCCCCCGAGUAUUUGGCUACACUCGUGGGUUGCCUGAAGCGCGGCGGAAAGGGCGCAUUUAGGAUGCGCGCGGAGAAGGCCCGAGGCCCUGCUGCUCCGGGGCUCGGGCUGCGGUCUUCCCCGCUAUCGUAGCGCCCGCCACGGUGAACGUGGUAGCCUCGAUCGGCCCCGUCCCCCCUGUCCGCGCGGGAGCGCCUCCGCGCGUUCAGGGUGUCGCGGGCGUCGCGGAUGAGACCGACGCGCUGGUGGACGGACCGAGCCUCUCCUACCGCGGGCGGCGGGGUUCGUCGGGCGGACGCGGCCUGAUUCGCCCCCGGAGGGGGUUGAUGGACAGAUUCCCCCCGCCGUUCCGGGGGCGUGCCCUGCGUCGCCCGGCUGGCGUUCUGCCCGCGUCGCCGAGACGCUGAACUUUCCGCCUGCUGGACGGCAGCACACUCGAGCAGGUUGCGCAUCUCUUGGCAUGCCCGUUGCUCCUCGGGCGUCGCUGGCUCGGGGAGCUGUCGGAGCAAUACCGCCGCGGCGGCGACGUUUUGGCUAGCGCGGGCAAAGAGCGGCGGACGUUCUCUGUCCGCACAGAUGCGUUCCUAGACGUGCGCGCCCGUUGCCGCGCUCCCCCCUCGUGGUGGGGGUGCUCUAUCUCUUGGCGAGCGCCCGCGUGCGCUUCUGGUUGCUGAGAGCACUCUGGGGCCCUAGGUAAGGCUGCAGUUGUAGCUGCGGCGCGCGAGGGGGGAACCCGUUGUCUCCCCUCGGCACCAUCGCCGUUGGACCCCUCGGAGUGCGUGUCCACCAUAAGGCACUCGCGCGAGGGGCGGGGACUCCCGUUACUGGAGCCAGCAUCGGUGAUUGUCCUCGCCACGUCCACGAGCUCGUUGCUCGCGGGCGGCGUGGUCAAGGACCGCGCUAGGAGGCGACCGUAAGCCCCCGUGGCGUUGCGUAGCCCACAGGGCUGUCCCUCUGGUGAGGUCCUUCUGGUAGGCGACCGACCGCUCACCGCCGUCCUGGCGGUGGGGCCGAGGGCAGUAGGACGAGCGGGCAAGAUGAGGACAGGGAUCAGCUCGAUCCCUUCCCCGGUGGCCAGGAAGUCCAGGCUCCCAAAACGGAUCAGUGAGCCCGGAGCAAAGCUGCUAUCGCAAUUGGCCAUCUGAGGCUGGAGAUGUACGCGCAAAGGUCCCCUACCUGGCGCGCCAACUGUCGUUGUCAAGAUCAACGGAUCAAGACUUAGACUAGUAAAUUUCUUUUAUGCGCGUAAGCCUCAGGUGGUUGCAUGGGAGACACGGGUUUAGACUGGUUCGGGCAAAGGAAGCCCUACGUCUAGUAUCGAGGAUGUUCGUGUUGCCCACGCGGGGGUUCUGUAGUAGGGGUUACAGGUUGACGAGAGAGGGACUGGUCCCAAGUCUCUUUGGUGCUUGCGUUCUCAGGGAGAGUUGUUGUGUGCUAUCGCUUGUGGGAGAGGAAGCCGAUCCCCUCUCCAGCCUCGGGUUCCUCCUUUUAUAUCGCAAGGGGGUGGCCGGAGUUACAGUUGGAAUCGAGUAAAGAGGACUGUAAAGAGUAAAGCGUAGUAUGGUAAAAAGCACGGCAGGAAGGAGGAGCAAGAUCCUAGGCGUCCGACGCCUCUGCCGGCCCUGGACACGCGCCGGCGCGCAUGCCGGAGGGGGAGAUCGCCGUGUGCCAAGUGUUGUUGCUCCCUGCAGAUAGCUUCUUCGAUGCUCGUAGGCGUCAGAUCAUGAUGAGGGCGUUCCGUCGUUAUCCCAGCGUCCGUUAGGGAGGACGGUGGAUGCGGAUACUCAGGCAAUGGCUGCUGAGAGGGAGAGCGUCACAUCCGUGCUGCUGGGCACGCGGGACCCGGGGGUGCGCGGGGCCCGAGGACAGGCCGCUCUCCCCUGUGCUCCGGCCGGCGCAGGCCAUGAGUACCCUGCGGCGAAUGGGAGCCGGCCGCCGGCACUGUAGCCUGCACAGAGCGGUCGUGCACGGGUACUUGUGUUGGGUUGCGUGGGGGGCGCGGUCGCCCUGCCCUCCGCCAGACCUGCGGCGCAUUUAUGGCGAGGCCGACGGGGGGACCCACAGGAUUUUGUCUGUCUUGCCCAUCGGGACCGUAUCCGAGGGGGGCGCCUCCCCUGGGGGCCCCAGCGCGCCCGACCCCUUCACUUGGGGUCGGACGAGGCGGAAACUUUGAGGAGGGGGGUCGGACGUUCUCGAUCCUGACGCCUUGGUCGGGCGAGGCGGGACUUUGAUUACACCUAGGUGGGCCCGGGCCUCCGUGUCUUCUUCCUUAAGUGGUGUUUUAGGGGAGCGUUAAUAUUUCCCCCCAACAGUACCUCUAGGGGUUUUUAAUUUGUCAAAAUAAGCAUGCAUAUGCUAC
rnacentral:lncRNA from 1 species